rnacentral:rRNA from 1 species
AGAUUGAACGCUGGCGGCAUGCCUUACACAUGCAAGUCGAACGGUAGAGUAGCAAUACUUGAGAGUGGCGAACGGGUGAGUAAUAUAUCGGAACGUGCCCAGUCGUGGGGGAUAACGUAGAGAAAUUUACGACUAAUACCGCAUACGAUCUAAGGAUAGGAAAGGCGGGGGACCGUAGGGCCUCGGCGCGAUUGGAGGCGGCUGAUACUC